AGGUGCUAUGUGUCCUGGCUGAUGACUGCACCAGCUCCUGGAGGCAAUUCACAUCCUCGGCAGUGCUGCGCUGGGAGAGAGGCAGGGAGCUGUGUGGACCCUAAUCUCCAGAAACAGAGAGGACAAAUGAUGGAAAAAGUUUUGAGAGGGGCUUGCUGCUCUCGUGGUUUGCAGUUGAGCCCUCAAACAGGCUGUAAUUUGGAGAGCUGGUCUAUACUUUCAUGACAGGAGCAAGCAGCCAAGCUGGGGGAAAACUUGCAAGCUGAAAAACCAAGUAGAGCUGUUGUGACCAUCCCCUGUGGAGAGCCCUACGGACUGGUGUUUUCUGUUCAUUACACCUCACUUUGCCAAGACCUGGUUUCCUGCUGGCAGUCUCAUAUCCUAUAUCCUCCAUCUUCGUUUUCCUUUAUUUCCCUAAAAAAAUAGGAAGGUCUGUGUCCAGCCACAAUGACGGGGUCCCGAAUUUGGAGUCAAAAACGUUCUUACUGAGCCGUGCAAGGCUGACAUGAGACAACAGGGAGGUGACUCAGUCCUUUCAGUACGUUUCCAUGUUCCCAGCUGCUGUAGGAAAUAAACAAUCCACUGGGACUACUUGGAUGCCAGAGGACAAGUCCAGUCCAAAAAAAACCCCCUCACAUUUACUGAGGUAGAGAGAGUCCUGAGGAGGAGGAAUAUUUCCAGGUCAAAAAUCAAAGUGAAGCUGUUGCAGUCUAUUUGCGAGCACUGUCUUGGCAGAAGGUCUGAAAGUCUUGCACUAUCCCAAUAGGUCUGUAAGUCCUGUGUGUUCCUACAAAGUCACCUUCUGAUGCUCUUGUUGAUGGCAAGGGGUGUUUGUUCAAUGAUCAGCUUCAUGGAGGUCAGCAAGAGUGUUGCAGAACAUGAACUGCAGGAUAGGGGCUGAGAAAGUCAACUGAAUGACUGAAAGAUUUAGCGGCUUCAAUGACCGAAUUGUCUGCGUAUUUCUGGAAGAAGGUGCUGGUCCAGAGGUGUUAAGAAAUCCUGUUGACAAAAAUCAAGAUUCCAUUCUGUAGACUGAAAAUGCCUUAUUUGCCUUCUGUUCAACAGCUAACCUGGGAGAUCUCUACAAACAGCCCAUUUCAGGGCAUGUUUUAGGGUGGUUCCUAAAACCCAAGACAGGGAAAAAUCAAGUUUGAGAAGUAUGUUGGCUAGGCCUUGGGUCAGAGAUACAUGGGGUGAAAAAAGACCAUCUCAGCAUGGAGUGGUUUGGAACACAGACAGACAGAAGUGCAGGGAAGGCCUUUGGACUGGAAAUGUGUUGUGCAUGUUACAUCCUUUGCUCUUUAUCCUCCUUUUUCUGAAGAACUGUCUGUGGACAUUUGGAGAUUAUGCUGUUAGCUGAACAAACAAAAGGGAUUAAGACUUGGCUGGUUCAUUUUUCCACCCUCCACCCAUCUUGGAAUUCAUUACCAUUCAUUGCCACUAACCAAAAUAACAAGGGGACCAGCCAUGCACCGUGCUGCUUCCUCUGUCCCAAUUUCUGUGUAGCGGCAGAUUUGUCCAUGAAGACCACCAAGCAGGCAUAGCCAUAGGAAAGGAGCUAAACUUCCCCAAAACGGCUUGGUCACGCCACAAUCCCAACACAAGGCUAGCUUGCACGCUAAUUCCUUUCCACUAGAAUCAAUAAGGGCUGAGGGAUGUUAAUUUUAUGUUUGCCUGUAUGUAUUUAAAUGUGUGCAUGUGCUCACAUUUAAAUCGCAUGUGUCUGUGGGAAAGGUCUAAGCUUGGUCUCAUCUGACUUUUGGGCAAAAUGUCACUGGAGUUGUUACCUGAGUCUGCCACAGUCCUCAAAACAGCCUUUCUGUGACCUGUUCUUCCUGCCGGGGUCAACUGGAAGAGCCACCCUUGAGGUCCUUUUUUCUGCCUCUACACAGAGGAAGGUAUGAGCCUGAAUGGGAGCGGAUGAUCGAAGAGCAGCUGUUACAUUUCCAGAUGCCAGGAAAGAUGAAAGCAAACCUCCUUCCACUCUGCCUUUGUGGGGGGUAUUGGAUGGGCUGUGACAUCUGAGCCUGUGGAUGUCUGGUGAAGUAACUCCAGGCAGUGCAUGGAGACACUCAUCUCCCUGGGAGAACUGUAACCAGUGGGAGAGCAAAGGAGCUGCUCCUGCAUGAGGUGAAUCGCUCACAAGCUCACCAAGAACCUCGGAGAUCCUCAGCAUUUAAUGUGUAACACCAACUUCCCUCCAUGCUGACCCUACCUGCAGGUGAACUGGGUUGUGACCAGAAAGGCAGCGAGGUCCUGGAGAGUAAAACCAGCAUCUGGCUCCCAUGCUGGCAUUCCAUGAGAAUAUGUCACAGCCCCUCCAGUGCCAAGGCCUGAGUGUGUUUCCUGCACCACUCACCAGUGUGGAGAUUCUGGUAUGCUACUUGAGGUGGUCUGGGAAUUUAGCUGCCUCUUGGACGUGGUGUCUGAAGCAGGGGUCCAAAACACUGGUGUGCAUGUGCUCUGUGACCACUCAGAAAAUGUUGCCGAUGGACCCAAAUUCCUUCCUCCAACUUGCAUGCAAACAAGCCACUAAUGUCACUGGCAGUUGAAUGUGCAUAUCUGAGGGCAAAGUUUGGCCAAAAGCCUUUGUGCAGAAGUUUUAGCAUAAUCACCCAG